UGGGGAAUCUUGCGCAAUGGGCGAAAGCCUGACGCAGCAACGCCGCGUGGGGGAUGAAGGCUCUCGGGUUGUAAACCCCUUUCAGGAGGGACGAAAAUGACGGUACCUCCAGAAGAAGCCCCGGCCAACUACGUGCCAGCAGCCGCGGUAACACGUAGGGGGCGAGCGUUGUCCGGAUUUAUUGGGCGUAAAGAGCUCGUAGGCGGUUUGGCAAGUCGGGUGUGAAAUUUCGAGGCUCAACCUCGAAACGCCACUCGAUACUGCCAUGACUGGAGUCCGGUAGAGGAGUGCGGAAUUCCUGGUGUAGCGGUGAAAUGCGCAGAUAUCAGGAGGAACACCAACGGCGAAGGCAGCACUCUGGGCCGGUACUGACGCUGAGGAGCGAAAGCGUGGGGAGCAAACAGG
rnacentral:rRNA from 2 species